UAGCAAAAAAAAAAAAAAAGAUGUUAGGACCGGGCACACGAGGCAUCUCGAAUAUAGACACCAGGGCCAGAGGAAUGGCUGUUCGGUUUAUUAUUACAAGGAGAGCUCAGUACCAAUUAAACGAAGAGGGCGGAAAAUGGACAAGGGUUGGACCAUUGCACCAUUGGCUUUUAAACAAGAGCAUCUUAAAUAAUUUGAAGUUUGCCCAGGUACACAAUUCAGAAGAUUUUUCUCUGCAUCUUCAGGCUUGUCCAUUGGAUCCUUACACUUAGAAAGCUCUACAAGUGUAUCCUCCAACUCUGCAAGCAGUACUUAUCAAAGCUCUCAACACUUACGUGCAAUCGGAAAUCAAGGGCUGCCAAGAAUUUCAUCUCCAGCUUGUUCAGUUCUGCUGUGGUUAUUCCUCCUACUUUUGCAUAAUAAGCAUUAUUGUAGCAGCUGAAAAAAGAGUGAAAAUCUCAUAAGAAAUCCAACAGUUUUAACCAUGUUAAGAGGUUUUGUUACAUUUUAUCAAGCAGAUUCUGUCAUCAUGGGAUGUCUGAUACAUAACAUUAGGGACUACCUAUAAUUCCAACUUAA